CCGCGGUUAUACGUGAUAUGGCCCAAGUUGACAGCCCACGGCGUAAAGGGUGGUUAGGGGAUAAAAAUAAAACUAAAGCUAAACGCCCCUCCUGCUGUUAUACGCUCUCAGGGAUAAAGAAAAUCAUCUACGAAAGUGGCUUUAACCCCCCCCCCC
rnacentral:rRNA from 1 species